rnacentral:rRNA from 1 species
UACGUAGGGGGCGAGCGUUGUCCGGAUUUAUUGGGCGUAAAGAGCUCGUAGGCGGUUUGGUAAGUUGGAUGUGAAAUCUCCAGGCUCAACUUGGAGGGGUCAUUCGAUACUGCCAUGACUAGAGUUCGGUAGGGGAGUGUGGAAUUCCUGGUGGAGCGGUGAAAUGCGCAGAUAUCUGGAGGAACACCGGUGGCGAAGGCGGCACCCUGGACCAACACUGACGCUGAUGAGCGAAAGCCAGGGGAGCAAACGGG